rnacentral:rRNA from 1 species
AGUAACCUGCCUUGGAGUGGGGAAUAACAGCUGGAAACAGCUGCUAAUACCGUAUAAUGCAGUUGGGUCGCAUGGCUCUGACUGCCAAAGAUUUAUCGCUCUGAGAUGGACUCGCGUCUGAUUAGCUAGUUGGCGGGGUAACGGCCCACCAAGGCGACGAUCAGUAGCCGGACUGAGAGGUUGGCCGGCCACAUUGGGACUGAGACACGGCCCAGACUCCUACGGGAGGCAGCAG